rnacentral:tRNA from 1 species
CGGCCGCGCUACCGGCCGCGCUACCGGCCGCCGCCCGCGCCGGCGAGCUCGCGGCGUUCGCGGGCGCGCUCGCGCUCGGAGCCCGCGCGGCCGG